rnacentral:ncRNA from 2 species
AUGUUAUCAAGAAAGGUUGAGGGAUAUAGACCCUAUGAAACCUUAGCAACCCUUUGCGCAAGCAGAGAAGGUGCUACGUUCUACCAAAUAAUUUAUUUUGGACAGAUAACUU